rnacentral:rRNA from 1 species
GGAGAAGAAGGCCUGUGGGUUGUAAAGCCUUUUCAGUGGGGAAGAAAAACGGGGUGUGAAAAGCCCUUUGUCUUGACGGUACCCACAGAAGAAGCACCGGCAAUCUCCGUGCCAGCAGCCGCGGUAAUACGGGGGGUGCGAGCGUUUUUCGGAAUUACUGGGUGUAAAGGGCGUGUAGGCGCUUGGGUAAGUCGGGUGUGAAAGCCCCGGGCUUAACCUGGGAAUGGCAUUCGAGACCACCUAGCUAGAGUCUGGUAGAGGGAAGUGGAAUUUCCGGUGUAGCGGUGAAAUGUGUAGAUAUCGGAAGGAACACCAGUGGCGAAGGCGACUUCCUGGACCAAGACUGACGCUGAGGCGCGAAAGCGUGGGGAUCAAACAGGAUUAGAUACCCUGGUAGUCCACGCCCUAAACGAUGAG